GCAGAGCCCCCGGCAGGGCCUUGCUGCAGCGUCUCGGCUUCCCACCGGCCAGGACGGCAGGUGUGCCUGUGUGCACCUGUCUUCCAGCCUCGGGUGGAGUCUGGCUGUCAGGACCUCAAGUGACCUCACAGCAGAAGCCAGGAAGGCGAGUACCACCAGCGAUGACCACACCGUGUCCCCCAGGCAAACCCCAUACGGAUCCC